GGGAUGUCCUGAUAUGUGUGUAAGGAAUGCAUUGUGUGAAAUUGUGUUUGUAUGUGUAAGGGCUGCAAGGUGUGUUUCUGUGUAUGUAUGGGAUGCAUUGAAUGUGUGUAAGGGGUGCAUUGAGUGUGUGUAAUGAAUGCAUUGUGUGUUUAUGUGUGUGUAAGGGAUGCAUUGUGUGUAACGGUUGCAUUGCUUGUGUAUGUGUGUCUGUGUGUGUAAUGCAUUGUGUGUUU